rnacentral:rRNA from 1 species
UACGUAGGAGGCGAGCGUUGUCCGGAAUCACUGGGUGUAAAGCGCGUGUAGGCGGCCUGUCAAGUCUGCUGUGAAAGCGCCUGGCUUAACCGGGCGAGGUCGGUGGAAACUGGCGGGCUGGAGGCCGGUAGAGGGGGGUGGAAUUCCCGGUGUAGUGGUGAAAUGCGUAGAGAUCGGGAGGAACACCAGUGGCGAAGGCGGCCCCCUGGGCCGCGCCUGACGCUGAGACGCGAAAGCGCGGGGAGCGAACGGG